rnacentral:lncRNA from 1 species
AAAGUCAAAAGAAAUAUAUUGUAGGACUUUAGUACCUUAAUUAUAGGGAUUUGCAUGACUUUGAUCAUUCUUAAACCUAUAAAUUGAGUAUCAUUGUAAUACGGAAAUAUCAAGCAAUAUCAAAGAAAUACAAUAACAAUCUUUGGCUUCUCUUUAUUUUUCUCUACAUUAUGAUGAUACCAUGUUUCAACAUGGUAUCAGAGCAGGUUCAACCCUAGGAACUCAGAAACGAAUCAUCAUCCUUCAUAAUCCAAAACCAAAACCGUUCCUAGCCAAUUCACCAAAUCAAAACAGCCCCUGUUCUUCAUUUCCUGAAAAAAAAAAAAAAUGCCAGGAGAGAUUGAAACCAUAAACCAAACAGAUUCAAAUAACCCAAAUCCAAACAGAAUCCACAGAAUGGGUCGAAGAGACCCAAAUCCAAUCAACUGCAAUGAAGAAGGGAUUAAUAAGCACCGAAAAUUAAUCGGAAAUUGCCGAUUAUUUCAAUUCCUCCCUGGAUUAGAUGGGAGAUACGACAAACUUUGUCGGGACAUUCUCAAGAAAGUUCCCGUUCCCUCAGUCGAGUCGGCGUUCUCAAAAGUGAGAAGGGAGGCCGCCCGACUACAAAACUUGCAGCCGGCAACCAACCGCUCCGACAUCGACGCCUCAUCAUCGGGAGGGGUCGGAGCCGGACUCGCCACCACCCACCGCCCUACUCAGCGGCCUGAGGUCCGACCGCCACACACCGCCGCCGGUCCAGGCAACCCACCGGAGUGGUGGGAAAACAAUCACAAAAUUGCCAAAGGGAAGAAAGCGAGCGACGACGAUGAGAUGGAGCAGCUGCUGCGAGCAGCGCAGGAUGACGUGCUUCGCAAACUCAGCGUCGAUUCCCACACGGCGCGCGGCUCAGGCGCCGCCGCCAUCGACCCAGAUCUCGACCGCCGUUUCCUGGCCCUCAAGAAACCCCAGAAGCUCUCGAAACACGACGAUUCUGUGAAGAAUUCCCCAAAAGAAGCUCACGCCUGCGACAGCAAAGUGGCGGACGGAAGUGGAGGAAAUUCGGAACAGAUCGGAGCAACACCGACUGGAUCGGAAGAGACCGAGAACCGACCGGCGUGGGCCGCAAGAGCGGCGGCCAUGGCUGUCGACCGAUUGGCAGCGGCUGGACCGUGGGGCGCGAGGGAGAUGUCGGCGGCUGGAGAUCAGUCGCCGCUGACCGUGGGGUCGGCGGCACCGGCCAUGAACCGACCGGCGGUGGCGGCGGUGGCUAUGGAUCGUCCGGCAGCGGCUGCAGGACCAAGGAAGGGAGGAGGUGCAGAUUUAUUUGAUGGAGGCGCAAGUAUAGGAGGCGCAGGGUAUAGGGUUUGGUGUUUUCACACCAAACCCUCUAACUUCUUCAAAUUAUUAUAAAAGACCCCAUUUUUUGCCCACUAAGUCCCCGAAUUCUGGAGUAUUACAAAUACCACCCCUGGGUUAUCCUGAAUUGCAGCAAGAGCCCCACUUUAUGCAAACUACCCCCCUGGAUUUGCAUAAAUUACAAAACCACCCCAAACCUCUACAUAAUACUAAAAACACCUCUCAAUUAUGUAGAAUUUCCCUAAAUACUUCCGCUGCAUAUCAAACCUCUUAUGAUAAUAGGGAUAGGGAUAAAGGGUGGAUUUUUGAUUGUGGAGCCACUGAUACAAUGACUUUUGAUAAAACUGAUAUUAUUAAGUCAUCAACAUCACAUCGUACGCAUGUUCAGACUGCAAAUGGUGAUUUGACUCGUGUUAAAGGAGCCGGAACUAUAGAAAUUUCCCCUACUUUACGUCUCUCAAAUUGUCUUUAUGUCCCGUCUCUUUCACACAAACUCUUAUCUAUUAGCCAUGUUACUAAAGAGCUCAAUUGUACCAUGCUUAUGCAUCCUCACUUCUGUUUACUUCAGGAUAUCAGGACGGGGGAGAUUAUUGGGCGUGGCACUGAGCGGGAUGGAUUGUACUAUGUGGAUGAGAUAGCUCAACAAGGCAAGGUGAUGCUGGCUCACGGAACUGCUGACCGGGAAGCCUGGCUUUGGCACCGUAGGUUAGGGCAUCCAUCCACGGGUUACCUUAAGAUUUUAUUCCCUAACAUUAUGCAAAAUAAUACUUUGUCUUGUGAAACUUGUGUUUUGGCUAAAAGUCAUCGACAACCUUUUAAACCUAGUGAUACUCAAGUCGAUUCUAUUUUUUCUUUAGUUCACUCUGAUGUUUGGGGUCCAUCACCUAUUGCCGGGGGUCAAGGGUUUAAAUAUUUUCUGCUUUUUGUUGAUGAUUGCACUAGAAUGACAUGGUUAUAUUUUCUCAAAAAUAAAUCUCAAGUUUUUGAUAAAUUUACUCAUUUUUUCGCCAUGGUGCAAAAUCAAUUCCAGAAAAAUAUCCAAGUCCUUAGAACUGAUAACGGGGGUGAAUUUGUCAAUCAUAACAUGCAGAACUUUUGUCAACAAAAAGGGAUAAUUCAUCAAACCACUUGUCCCCAUACCCCUGAACAAAACGGUGUUGCUGAACGAAAGAAUAGAAUCUUGCUUGAAAUGACCCGAGCUAUGAUGAUUGAGUCUAAGGUACCCAGCCAUUUUUGGCCCGAAGCUGUCGCAACCUCAGUUUACCUUAUAAACCGCCUUCCCACUAGAACCCUCAAACUUCAAACCCCAUUACAAAAAUUAUCCACUUUGGCCUCUGUCCCUGUCACUCUCACUCUUCAACCCCGGGUCUUUGGUAGUUCUGUUUUCGUUCAUAUCCCUAAGAAUGAACGGACUAAACUCUCUCCUUGUGCCAUUAAGU